rnacentral:rRNA from 1 species
UCCCAGCCUAGAGCAGGUCGGGUCAGAUCGAGUAGCUUGAAACGGUGCCGUUUUGAGCAUCUUUAAGCCAUGCCAAAACGACGCCGUUUUGGAUAGCUAUAAAUAGGCCUCUUUCUUUCAAAAAAAUAUUUUAACAUCUCUUUUAAGAAAAACCUUUUUCCUUUUAAAAGAACCUCUCAAGCCUCUCCUUUCUCUCCGUGACCGGCCAAGCUCCGGUCGAUCGUCAGUCCCCUCCGUCGCCACGCACUGUCAUCAUCCACAGCUACCGAAAGGUAAAAAGUUUCCUUUUUUAAUAUUAUUUUUUUUGAAAAAAACACCAGAUCUGGAUCUAAAUCCAGAUUUUAAAAGGUUUUAAUCUUUGUUUUCUUUUUAUUUAAACUUAAAAUCCAUUUUUGGUUAUUAUCCCUCUUUUUUAAGAAAAAAAAGGCUAGAUCUGAUUUCCCUUUUUUGUUCUUUCAUCUGUUUUCAUUUUAGUUUAAAUCUAUUCUUCUUUUUUAAUAUUUUCUAAUCUGUCUUAUUCGAAUUGGAAUGACAUCAAUGAGAUUACGACGAUGAUAGUGGCUUGGAGGGGCUCCACUCGUGGUUUCAUCGGUUUCUUUUUAUUAAUUAUUAAUUAUAUUAUAAUUAUUUAUUAUGCUUGAAAAACGUUUAGAAAUAAAUGUACUAUAAAUAACAAUUAUAAUAUACACAAGUAAAUAAAUAUACUUACAAAUACAUUUAUUACCUUAAGAAGAAAGCUUGAACGCUUGAUGAUCUGAUAUUAAUUGCUUUGAAUGCUUCCUACGAAUACUGAUAUGGAAAAUCUGUUUUGAAUUGAUUUCUUUUUUUAAAAAAUUGUAACCCCUUACAAACUGUUUGAUUAGGCACUUAUAGCCUGGUUUACAAUCAUUAUAAUUUGUUUUUUUCAUCUAAAUGCCAGUCUUUUCUCUUUGCAGGUUCGGCUUGGCAAUGGCGAUGGUGGCAGUUCAAGUUGCUAGUGGUGUGGUGUAACUUGGUUGUUGACCUGGCGAUUCCUAGUUAGAAGGGAAGGAGGUGGUAGCAGCACAAGUUGGGCUGCAGUAGUUUAGCUGCCAGAUUAGGGUUUGACUUUAGGUUUAGUUUAUUAGGCUUAUUGGGUUGUAGAAGUUUGGGUAAGGGUUAUUGUAAUUGGGUUGGGAUUUUGGUGCGUAAUUGGGUUAAAGUUUGUAAUUAGGCUUAAUUGGAUCCUGUAAUGUAUAUUGGACUUUGAAUUUGUAAUAUUGGGACAUUAUUAAUUUAAAUUUAGAAUAAUUUUAAAUUUUAAAACAAAUUUAAACUUAAAAGCAACGCACCGCCCGUCGCCCGAUUACCGACCCGCAAUAGGGGCCUCUAGCCCUCAAAGGCACAUGUCGUAGGUGUAAUGACCGCGACGGACAUUUGGCGGCUGCCUUCUUGGAGCGUAAUUCCCACCGAGCGGCGAGUAAAAUCAUUUGCAAAUGACUUAAAUAUGGGAUGGGGUAUUGUAAGAGGCAGAGUGGCCUUGCUGCCAUGAUCCACUAAGAUUCAGCCCUUUGUCGCUUCGAUUCGUCCCUCCCCUCCUCGAUCCAAGGUGAACAGCUUCUGGUCAAUGGAACAAUGUAGGCAUGGGAAGUCGACAGAAUGGAUCCGUAACCUCGAAAAAAGGAUUGGCUCUAAGGGCUGGGCACGGGGUCCCAGUCCCGAACCCGUUGGUUGCUGGUGCACUGCUCGAGCUACUCCCGCUGCGAGAGCGGGUCAUCGCGUGUCGAUCGGGGACAGAUUGGGAACGACUCCUUGGGGGGCCUUCCUUGGGCGAUGAAUAGUUGACUCAUUACUGGUACAGACAAGGGGAAUCAGACUGUUUAAUUGAAACAAAGCAUUGCGAUGGUCCCUGCGGAUGCUCACGCAAUGUGAUUUCUACCCAAUGCUCUGAAUCUCAAAGUGAAGAAAUUCAACCAAGUGCGGGUAAACGGCCAAAUGCAACGAUCCACUAUGACUCUCUUAAGUUAGCCAAAUGCCUCGUCAUCUAAUUAGUGACGUGCAUGAAUAGAUUAACGAGAUUCCCACUAUCCUUGUCUACUAUCCAGUGAAACCACAGCCAAGGGAAUGGGCUUAGCAGAAUCAGCAGGGACAGAAGAACCUGUUGAGCCUGAUUGUCCAACUUUGUGAAAUGACUUGAGAGGUGUAGGAUAAGUGCAAGCUCUUGGGCAAAAUUGAAAUACCACUACUUUUAACGUUAUUUUACUUAUUUCAUGAAUCAGAGGCCGGGCAUGACCCCUCUUUUUGGACUCAAGGUCAACUUUGGUCGAUCAAUUCGGGUGGAAGACAUUGUCAGGUGAGGAGUUUAGCUGGGGUGGCACAUCUGUUAAAAGAUAAUGCUAGUGUCUUAAGAUGAGUUCAACGAGAAUAGAAAUCUCGUAUGGAACAAAAGGGUAAUAGCUUGUUUGAUUUUGAUUUCCAGUACGAAAAUGAAUCGUGAAAGCGUGGCCUAUCAAUCCUUUAGACCUUCGAAAUUUGAAGGUAAAGGUGUCAGAAAAGUUACCACAGGGAUAACUGGCUUGUUGUAGCCAAGCGUUCAUAGCGACGUCGCUUUUUGAUCCUUUGAUGUUAGCUCUUCCUAUCAUUGUGAAGAAGAAUUCACCAAGUGUUGGAUUGUUCACCCACCAAUAGGGAAAGUGAGCUGGGUUUAGACCAUCGUGAGACAGGUUAGUUUUACCCUAUUGAUGGUCGCGUCAUAAUAGUAAUUCAACCUAGUACGAGAGGAACUAUUGAUUCGUACAAUUGGUCAUCGCGCUUGGUUGAAAAGCUAGUGGCGCAAAGCUACCGUACGCUAUAUUAUGACUGAACGCCUCUGAGUCAAAAUUCGGGCUAAAAGCGACGCACGCGCCCGUCGCCCAAUUACCGACCCACAAGGGCACGUGUCGUAGGUGCAGCGACCGCGGCGGACAAGUCGUGGCUGCCUCCUUGGAGCGUAAUUCCCACUGAGCGACGGGUAGAAUCCUUUGCAGACGACUUGAAUAUGCGAUGGGGUAUUGUAAGUGGUAGAGUGGCCUUGCUGCACGAUCCACUGAGAUUCAGCCCUUUAUCGCUUCGAUUCGUCCCUCCCCUUCCU